rnacentral:tRNA from 1 species
GCCUGGGUGGCUCAGUUGGUUGAGCGUCUGAUUCUUGAUUUUGGCUCAGGUUAUCAUCUCAUGGUUCGUGGGAUUGAGUCCCACAUUAGGCU